rnacentral:rRNA from 1 species
UGGCCUACGGGACGCAGCAGUGAGGAAUAUUGGUCAAUGGGCGAGAGCCUGAACCAGCCAAGUCGCGUGAGGGAAGACGGUCCUAUGGAUUGUAAACCUCUUUUGUCGGGGAGCAAAAAGGCCUCGUGAGGCCACAAGCGAGAGUACCCGAAGAAAAAGCAUCGGCUAACUCCGUGCCAGCAGCCGCGGUAAUACGGAGGAUGCGAGCGUUAUCCGGAUUUAUUGGGUUUAAAGGGAGCGUAGGCGGGCCGUUAAGUCAGUUGUGAAAGUUCGGGGCUCAACCCCGGAAUUGCAGUUGAAACUGC